UGGGGAAUUUUGGACAAUGGGCGAAAGCCUGAUCCAGCAAUGCCGCGUGUGUGAAGAAGGCCUUCGGGUUGUAAAGCACUUUUGUCCGGAAAGAAAUCCUUGGCCCUAAUACAGUCGGGGGAUGACGGUACCGGAAGAAUAAGCACCGGCUAACUACGUGCCAGCAGCCGCGGUAAUACGUAGGGUGCAAGCGUUAAUCGGAAUUACUGGGCGUAAAGCGUGCGCAGGCGGUUUGCUAAGACCGAUGUGAAAUCCCCGGGCUCAACCUGGGAACUGCAUUGGUGACUGGCAGGCUAGAGUAUGGCAGAGGGGGGUAGAAUUCCACGUGUAGCAGUGAAAUGCGUAGAGAUGUGGAGGAAUACCGAUGGCGAAGGCAGCCCCCUGGGCCAAUACUGACGCUCAUGCACGAAAGCGUGGGGAGCAAACAGGAUUAGAUACCCUGGUAGUCCACGCCCUAAACGAUGUCAACUAGUUGUUGGGGAUUCAUUUCCUUAGUAACGUAGCUAACGCGUGAAGUUGACCGCCUGGGGAGUACGGUCGCAAGAUUAAAACUCAAAGGAAUUGACGGGGUCAUAGCUGUUU
rnacentral:rRNA from 1 species